rnacentral:rRNA from 1 species
UACAGAGGGUGCGAGCGUUAAUCGGAAUUACUGGGCGUAAAGCGUGCGUAGACGGUUAUUUAAGUCGGAUGUGAAAGCCCCGGGCUCAACCUGGGAAUGGCGAUGGAAACUGGCGAGCUAGAGUACGGUAGAGGAGAGUGGAAUUCCCGGUGUAGCAGUGAAAUGCGUAGAGAUCGGGAGGAACAUCAGUUGCGAAGGCGGCUCUCUGGACCAGUACUGACGCUGAGGCACGAAAGCGUGGGGAGCAAACGGG